UAUAGAGGUCUCAAGCGUUGUUCGGAUUCAUUGGGCGUAAAGGGCGCGUAGGCGGCGGGGUAAGUCUGGUGUGAAAUCUCGGAGCUCAACUCCGAAAUUGCACUGGAUACUGCUCUGCUUGAGGGUUGGAGAGGAGAUCGGAAUUCACGGUGUAGCAGUGAAAUGCGUAGAUAUCGUGAGGAAGACCAGUGGCGAAGGCGGAUCUCUGGACAAAUCCUGACGCUGAGGCGCGAAGGCUAGGGGAGCAAACGGG
rnacentral:rRNA from 1 species